AUUGAACGCUGGCGGCAGGCCUAACACAUGCAAGUCGAGCGAGCGGCGGACGGGUGAGUAAGGCCUAGGAAUCUGCCUGGUAGUGGGGGAUAACGUCCGGAAACGGGCGCUAAUACCGCAUACCAUCAGAUGUGCCCAGAGGGGAUUAGCUUGUUGGUGGGGUAACGGCUCACCAAGGCGACGAGCCCUAGCUGGUCUGAGAGGAUGACCAGCCACACUGGACCUGAGACACGGCCCAGACUCCUACGGGAGGCAGCAGUGGGUAAUAUUGGACAAGGGGCGCAAGGCUGAUGCAGCCAGGCCGCGUGUAUGAAGAAGGCCUUCGGGUUGUAAAGUACUUUCAGCGGGGAGGCGUUACCCGCAGAAGAAGCACCGGCUAACUACGUGCCAGCAGCCGCGGUAAUAC
rnacentral:rRNA from 1 species